rnacentral:tRNA from 1 species
GGAGGGAUGGCUCAGUGGUAAAGUGUGUGCAUAGCAUGCAGGAAUUCUUGUGUUCAAUUCCCAGUACCUCCA